ACUGGAGACUGUGUGGUACGUCACUGGCGGACUUCCGGAGGCGCUGCUCAGGGAGCCUACUCUGAGCUCUGAGGUUCUUGUCGCCGGACGUGGAUUCCGUCAGUGGUGAGGGUUAGAAACUCAGAGACCACUCAGCGCGAGCGAACCGAGAGUCUAUACUGAGCCGCCGGCGACUGCCGGGGGGAAACCCUUCUCUCAGAGCAGCCGGAAGAACGCACUGUGCAGGGAGCUGUAAAAGGCAGAGAACACGGAAACACUACUUCCUUGUUUGCCGUUGGCAGGGAAAUAAAGAUUAUCUGAAUAGCCAUAUUGCAGCGUCUUCUUUCCCAAGAGUAAUUGUGCCUGCCAACUGCCGUGCCACCUCACCAUUUGGAGAGCAUUGCAGCAUGUUGUGAGCUAGUGUGUGUGGCUGCCACCCAACGACAUGUGUUUGGUUUGGUUUACUUCUUGUGUUCUUCUAGGGUCUAUAGUCUACCUCUUUCUUGGUAAUUUUGUGUUUUACUCCACAGGCCGACGGAGAUCUGAUUCUGACUCCUUUUGCUCCUGACUUGUCCUUGAUGGCAUGAGAUCCUUUGGCAUCUCCAUCACACUCUCCAUUUAGCCAGGGCCAAGAAGACUUGCCCUGCAACUGCACUGGGACAG
rnacentral:lncRNA from 1 species